AGUGAGGAAUUUUCCGCAAUGGGCGAAAGCCUGACGGAGCAAUACCGCGUGAAGGAAGAAGGCCCGUGGGUCGUAAUCUUCUUUUCUCAAGGAAGAAUAAAUGACGGUACUUGAGGAAUAAGCACCGGCUAACUCUGUGCCAGCAGCCGCGGUAAUACAGAGGGUGCAAGCAUUGUCCGGAAUGAUUGGGCGUAAAGCGUCUGUAGGUGGUUUUUAAAGUCUGCUGUCAAAUCCCAGAGCUCAACUUUGGACAGGCAGUAGAGAACUUAAAAGCUAGAGUAUGGUAGGGGUAGAGGGAAUUCCUUGUGGAGCGGUGAAAUGCACAGAGAUAAGGAAGAACACCAGUGGCGAAGGCGCUCUACUGGGCCAUGACUGACACUGAGAGACGAUAGCUGGGGGAGCGAA
rnacentral:rRNA from 1 species